rnacentral:piRNA from 1 species
UGUUUCUGAGGGUAGAGACACGG